GAUGAACGCUGGCGGCGUGCCUAAUACAUGCAAGUCGAGCGCGUGAUUGAGGAGCUUGCUCCUCAUGAUCGAGCGGCGGACGGGUGAGUAACACGUAGGCAACCUACCCUUGAGAUUGGGAUAACUACCGGAAACGGUAGCUAAUACCGGAUACGACUUUCCUGCAUAAGCAGUUAAGUUAAAAGGCGGAUUUAUCUGCUGCUCAUGGAUGGGCCUGCGGUGCAUUAGCUCGUUGGUGAGAUAGUGGCUCCCCAAGACGACGAUGCAUAGCCGACCUGAGAGGGUGAUCGGCGACACUGGGACUGAGACACGGCCCAGACUCCUACGGGAGGCAGCAGAAGGGAAUCUUCCGAAAAGGACGCAAGUCGGACGGAGCAACGCCGCGAGAGUGAUGAAGGGUUUCGGCUCGUAAAACUCUGUUGUUAAGGAAGAACACGUGAGGUAGUAACUGGCCUUGAGAUGACGGUACUUAACCAGAAAGCCACGGCUAACUACGUGCCAGCAGCCGCAGUAA
rnacentral:rRNA from 1 species